GAGCAAUGGGAUGAAAAUAGCCAAAUCUGAACAUCAGAAGACGUUCCAGUCUACCUGAUGCAUGAUCUCUACAGUUCUGAGA
ensembl:snoRNA